rnacentral:rRNA from 1 species
AGAAUCAACGCUGGCGGCGUGCCUAACACAUGCAAGUCGCACGAGAAAGGGGAGCAAUCCCUGAGUACAGUGGCGCACGGGUGAGUAACACGUGAAUAAUCUACCUCCGAGUGGGGAAUAACUGAGAGAAAUCUUAGCUAAUACCGCAUAAUACCCACGGGUCAAAGCAGCAAUGCGCUUGGAGAGGAGUUCGCGGCAGAUUAGUUAGUUGGCGGGGUAAUGGCCCACCAAGACGAUGAUCUGUAUCCGGCCUGAGAGGGCGCACGGACACACUGGAACUGAAACACGGUCCAGACUCCUACGGGAGGCAGCAGUGGGGAAUUUUGCGCAAUGGGGGAAACCCUGACGCAGCAACGCCGCGUGGAGGAUGAAGCCCUUGGGUGUAAACUCCUUUCGAUCGGGAAGAUAAUGACGGUACCGAUAUAAGAACGCCCGGCUAACUUCGCGCCAGCAGCCGC